AAAGAUGGGAUAGCAGCACAUUUGGAAACCAGAAACAGGAUUGGUCUGAGUAAGCAUAGAUUUACGAAGGGGAAAUCAUGCUUGGCUAAAUUUCUGGAAUUUUUUGAGGAUAUAACCAGGAAAAUGGACAAGGGAGAGCCAGUGAAUGUAGUGUACCUGGAC